rnacentral:rRNA from 1 species
UGAAGGUGCUGCAUGGUUGUCGUCAGCUCGUGCCGUGAGGUGUCGGCUUAAGUGCCAUAACGAGCGCAACCCUUAUCUUCAGUUACUAACAGGUCAUGCUGAGGACUCUGGAGAGACUGCCGUCGUAAGAUGUGAGGAAGGUGGGGAUGACGUCAAAUCAGCACGGCCCUUACGUCCGGGGCUACACACGUGUUACAAUGGGGGGUACAGAAGGCAGCUACCGGGCGACCGGAUGCCAAUCCCAAAAACCUCUCUCAGUUCGGAUCGAAGUCUGCAACCCGACUUCGUGAAGCUGGAUUCGCUAGUAAUCGCGCAUCAGCCAUGGCGCGGUGAAUACGUUCCCGGGCCUUGUACACACCGCCCGUCAAGCCAUGAAAGCCGGGGGUACCUGAAGUACGUAACCGCAAGGAGCGUCCUAGGGUAAAACUGGUAAUUGGGGCUAAGUCGUAACAAGGUAGCCGUACCGGAAGGUGCGGCUGGAUCACCUC